AACGAACGCUGGCGGCAGGCCUAACACAUGCAAGUCGAUCGCUGUCUUCGGACAGAGAGGCGCACGGGUGAGUAACACGUGGGAACAUACCCUUGAGUGCGGAAUAACUAUUGGAAACGAUAGCUAAUACCGCAUACGCCCUACGGGGGAAAGAUUUAUCGCUCAAGGAUUGGCCCGCGUCCGAUUAGCUAGUUGGCGGGGUAACGGCCCACCAAGGCGACGAUCGGUAGCUGGUUUGAGAGAAUGAUCAGCCACACUGGGACUGAGACACGGCCCAGACUCCUACGGGAGGCAGCAGUGGGGAAUAUUGGACAAUGGGCGCAAGCCUGAUCCAGCCAUGCCGCGUGAGUGAAGAAGGCCUUCGGGUUGUAAAGCUCUUUCAGACGUGACGAUGAUGACGGUAGCGUCAGAAGAAGCCCCGGCUAACUUCGUGCCAGCCGCCGCAGUAAAAC
rnacentral:rRNA from 1 species